rnacentral:misc_RNA from 1 species
CAAAAUUCAGAGCUGUCAAGCACCUCACCUCAAGUAAACAAUUUCAAGACCUUGCAAGAAACAUUUUGCAAGCAAACAUCAUCUCAUGAAAUGAAUAAGCAAAAUUGUUACUCUGCAUAACAUAAUCUUAAGCUUAAAAUAGUAUGGAACAAAAACGCAUGCUAAAGUUAACCCUACAAGUAUCUUUCCAAACACAAGGCCUGAAGCACAUUUCGAAACAAAUAGAUUCAUAGGGACCAAAUAAACUUCUUAAAGCCAAAAAAAGAAAGCACAAGACAUUGAUCAUUUAUGAAUCUGCAAUGGUAACUUCCACCUCGACACCAGGUUCAAUUGUAAUUGAAGUGAUCUGCUUGACCACCUCUGGGGAACUGAACAGGUCGAUAACACGUUUGUGGACCCGAAGCUCAAAUCUGUCCCAGGUGUUGGUUCCUUCACCACAAGGAGACUUCCUAGUGGUAAUGUGAAGAACCUUUGUGGGCAUUCUCACAGGUCCCUUGACCCUUAAUCGCUUGUCCUUAGCCCCACGAACCAAGUCCGCACAGACUAUAAAUUAAACAGACAUAAUACCAAUCAAUAAUAUAAAUGCCAUGCCAUUUACAUAAAUUUAAAUCUGAAAUUCGACCCAGUUUUAAUCAAGAUUGCAGUGAGCAAAUUACCAUGUAUGAACAACAAAUUAACCAAAAAAAUAAAAUAAUAAAAACAAUCAAAUUGGUUUGAUCUAUUGCUAAUUAAACUUUUUGAGUAAUAUGAUGAUUAGAUAAAUUCACGGGAAAAGAUGGAACCUUUCUCAAGGUUUUUGACAUUUUUGGAAGAGAGUGUAAUCCUGAUCUUAUGUAUCUGCUCAUGGGAAUCCUCCAACCCAGCCUUUGCUGGCUUCAUUGCUGCGUAUGCUGCCAUUUUCUCCUUCACUUUCCUUUAAUAGCAAAAAGACCGUUACAAAGAAGCACUAUAUUCAUCAGAAAUCAAACAAACGGGAAAAAAUACAAAUAAAAAUAUUUAAACCAGCUUUUGUUAUCGAGUAACAAAUUUUUGAAGUAAAAAUAAUCGAUUACUAAAGAACAGCAAAAUAGGCAUAUCAACGAUCUAACCUAAGUUAAUGACAAUUUCUUCAACAAAGACACAAGAAAGGAACCUGAAAGACGAGAGAGGGGAGUUGUAGCUGCUCGGUGGUGCGGACUCUUUGCUACCUCUCUUCUCAGAACAAUCGAGGGUUAAAAAGGACAAGAUUCAG